CAUGGUGGGUGUUGGAAAGAUUUAUCGGUGGGGGAUGGACUCGCGGCCUAUCAGUUUGUUGGUGAGGUGAUGGCUCACCAAGACGAUGACGGGUAGCCGGCCUGAGAGGGCGACCGGCCACACUGGGACUGAGACACGGCCCAGACUCCUACGGGAGGCAGCAGUGGGGAAUAUUGCACAAUGGGCGAAAGCCUGAUGCAGCGACGCCGCGUGGGGGAUGACGGCCUUCGGGUUGUAAACCCCUUUCAGUAGGGAAGAAGCGAGAGUGACGGUACCUGCAGAAGAAGCGCCGGCUAACUACGUGCCAGCAGCCGCGGUAAUACGUAGGGCGCAAGCGUUGUCCGGAAUUAUUGGGCGUAAAGAGCUUGUAGGUGGCUUGUCGCGUCUGCCGUGAAAACCCGAGGCUCAACCUCGGGCGUGCGGUGGGUACGGGCAGGCUAGAGUGUGGUAGGGGAGACUGGAACUCCUGGUGUAGCGGUGAAAUGCGCAGAUAUCAGGAAGAACACCGAUGGCGAAGGCAGGUCUCUGGGCCAUUACUGACACUGAGAAGCGAAAGCAUGGGUAGCGAACAGGAUUAGAUACCCUGGUAGUCCAUGCCGUAAACGUUGGGCACUAGGUGUGGGGG
rnacentral:rRNA from 1 species